AACACACCAUCACACAUCCAUGGCCAAGCUGACUUCUUUCACAAACUCUACAAACAUUGGAUAAACUCUGAAAAAAAUGGCGGGUCUCGAUGGGGUCUUCCGGCCAGGACUAGUUGCGGCUGAUGGGGAGUUUGUGAAUAAUCAAGGGCUGAUUGCUCACCAGCUGUACAAGUCCCAUAAAGCUGCCAGAAGGGCAACACCCAGAAGAGAGAGUGGGGGAAGGACUCCCGUAUAGUUGGGGACGGUUGCAGAGGUAACAGGAGUGAGUUCAGUUUUUGAUCCCCACAGGAUCCAGCAAGACCGGGAGCCCAGGAGACGGUGUCCCGGAGAGGGUCUCAUGGGGGAGACCUAAUUAUUUUCUUUUGAACUAUUAUUUUAAUAAAUACCUCAGAUCUGAGCUAA